CGAGAGUGUAAAUUUGGAACGAAUCGAUGUCAACGUUCACAAGAACCAAAGCCGGAACAACAUUAGACUACUCAGUUGCGCCCUAACAGUAUAACUUUGCAAUGAGUACUUUUUCUCAUUUAAUCGAACAAAGAGUAAAACCUAAUUAAAUUGUUCGAUUAAGCCCCGAGAGUGUAAAGUUGGAACGAAUAGAUGUCAACGUUCACACAAACCAAAAUCGGAACAACAUUAGACUACUCACUUACACCCUAACAGUAUAAAUUUGCAACCAGUACUUUUUCUCAUUCUAUCGAACAAAGAGAAAAAGCUAAUUAUAUUGUUCUAUUAUGCCCCGAGAGUGUAAAUUUGGAACGAAUUGAUGUAAAUGUUCACAAGAAUCAAAACCGGAACCACAUUAGACUACUCACUUGCGCCCUAACAGUAUAACAUCGCAACAACUACUUUUUCUCAUUCAAUCGAAAAAAUAGUAAAACCUAAUUAUAUUGUUCUAUUAAGCCCCGAGAGUGUAAAGUUGGAACGAAUCGAUGUCAACGUUCACAAAAACCAAAACCGAAACAACAUUAGACUACUCAGUUGCGCCGAAACAGUAUAACUUUGCAACGAGUACUUUUUCUCAUUCAAUAGAACAAAGAGUAAAACCUAAUUAUAUUUUUCUAUUAAGCUCCGAGAGUAUAAAUUUGGAACGAAUCGAUGUCAACGUUCACAAGAACCAAAACCGGAACAACUUUAGAUUACACUGUUCCGCCCAACCAGUAUAACUUUACAACGAGUACUUUUUUUCAUUCAAUCAAACAAAGUGUAAAACCAAAUUAUAUUGUUCUAUUAUGCCCCGAGAUAGUAAAAUUGGAACGAAUCGAUGUCAACGUUGACAAGAACCAAAAUCGGAACAACAGAAGACUACUUACUUGCGCCCUAACAGUAUAAAUUUGCAACGAGUACUUUUUCUCAUUCUAUCGAACAAAGAGUAAAAGCUUAUUAUAUUGUUCUAUUAUGCCCCGAGAGUGUAAAUUUGGAACGAAUCGAUGUCAAAGUUCACAGGAACCAAAUCCGGAACAACAUUAGACUGCUCACUUGCGCCCUGACAGUAUUAAUUUGCAACGAGUACUUUUCCUCAUUCUAUCGAACAAAGCGUAAAAGCUAAUUAUAUUGCGCCCCGAGAGUGUAAAUUUGGAACGAAUCGAUGUCAACGUUCACAAGAACCAAAACCGGAACAACUUUAGAUUCCUCAGUUGUGCCCUAACAGUAUAACUUUGCAACGAGUACUUUUUCUCAUUUUAUCAAACAGCGAGUAAAAGCUAAUUAUAUUGUUCGAUUAAGCCCCGAGAGUGUAAAUUUGGAACGAAUCGAUGUCAACGUUCACAAGAACCAAAACCGGAACAACAUUAGACUACUCAGUUGCGCCCUAACAGUAUAACUUUGCAAUGAGUACUUUUUCUCAUUUAAUCGAACAAAGAGUAAAACCUAAUUAAAUUGUUUGAUUAAGCCCCGAGAGUGUAAAGUUGGAACGAAUAGAUAUCAACGUUCACACAAACCAAAAUCGGAACAACAUUAGACUACUCACUUACACCCUAACAGUAUAAAUUUGCAACCAGUACUUUUUCUCAUUCUAUCGAACAAAGAGAAAAAGCUAAUUAUAUUGUUCUAUUAUGCCCCGAGAGUGUAAAUUUGGAACGAAUUGAUGUCAACGUUCACAAGAAUCAAAACCGGAACCACAUUAGACUGCUCACUUGCGCCCUAACAGUAUAACUUCGCAACAACUACUUUUUCUCAUUCAAUCGAACAAAUAGUAAAACCUAAUUAUAUUGUUCUAUUAAGCCCCGAGAGUGUAAAUUUGGAACGAAUUGAUGUCAACGUUCCAAAUUUAUUGUUCGAUUAGACACAACUACUCAGUUGCGUCCUAACAGUAUAACUUUGCAACGAGUACUUUUUCUCAUUUAAUCGAAUAAAGAGUAAAAC
rnacentral:lncRNA from 1 species